AUAUCUGUUUGUGAUUAUGCAUUGGGAAUUAAACAUAUCCAUUAUAACCUAUCAAAUGAAUAUGCUCUUAUUUAAGUCUUUUAUUUCUUUUUUUGAUCAGCAGAUCCAUGUGAAAUAAAGGCAAAAACUCUUCAGCACAAAUAAGGAUAAAGGGAUGUUGUCCAUGUGAUUUGUAGUUUCAGUUCACACCAUAGCCCCAUCAUGUGUACAUAUCUGGCACACAAUAUUGCUGUCUUCCAGAUGGUGUGAGCAGUGAGACUCAGGAGGCACGGAUGGAAAUGGAAGCGCGGGCACAGUUAGAUAAACAGCAACACUGCAGGGAAUCAGUCUCACCUGGCCACCUGAUGCACGGCUUCCUGGAAAUUACUCCACCCCACACCACACCACCGCCCUGCUCUAACUGAUCAAGAUGAAGGGAGGCCCGUCAGCAAUCCUCCACCCUCAUCCAU